AACGCACGAGACCUGCGGACCUGCGGAAGGAUCAUUACAGAGUUGCAAAACUCCCAAACCAUUGUGAACGUUACCUUCUCGUUGCUUCGGCGGGCGGCCCGGGUCCUUCCCGGCGCCCCCCGGCCCCUCGCGGGCGCCCGCCGGAGGUAAACCAAACUCUUGAAUUGUAUGGCCUCUCUGAGUCUUCUGUACUGAAUAAGUCAAAACUUUCAACAACGGAUCUCUAGAUCGGAAGAGCAC
rnacentral:misc_RNA from 1 species